rnacentral:rRNA from 1 species
CCUACGGGUGGCUGCAGUGGGGAAUAUUGCACAAUGGGGGAAACCCUGAUGCAGCGAAGCCGCGUGAGUGAAGAAGUACUUCGGUACGUAAAGGUCUAUCAGCAGGGAAGAAAAAAAGUCAUUUGGACUUUGGACGGUACCUGACUAAGAAGACCAGGCUAACUACGUGCCAGCAGCCGCGGUAAUACGUAGGGGGCAAGCGUUAUGCGGAUUUACUGGGUGUAAAGUGAGCGUAGACGGUUAUGUAAGUCUGGAGUGAAAGCCCGGGGCCCAACCCCGGGACUGCUUUGGAAACUGUGUAACUGGAGUACAGGAGGGGCGGGCAGAAUUCCUGGUGUAGCGGUGAAAUGCGUAGAUAUCAGGAGGAACACCGGCGGCGAAGGCGGCCUGCUGGACUGAAACUGACGUUGAGGCUCGAAAGCGUGGGGAGCAAACAGGAUUAGAUACCCGAGUAGUC